GACGAACGCUGGCGGCGUGCUUAACACAUGCAAGUCGAACGGAAAGGCCCUGCUUUUGUGGGGUGCUCGAGUGGCGAACGGGUGAGUACCACGUGAGUAACCUGCCCUUGACUUUGGGAUAACUUCAGGAAACUGGGGCUAAUACCGGAUAGGAGCUCCUGCUGCAUGGUGGGGGUUGGAAAGUUUCGGCGGUUGGGGAUGGACUCGCGGCUUAUCAGCUUGUUGGUGGGGUAGUGGCUUACCAAGGCUUUGACGGGUAGCCGGCCUGAGAGGGUGACCGGCCACAUUGGGACUGAGAUACGGCCCAGACUCCUACGGGAGGCAGCAGUGGGGAAUAUUGCACAAUGGGCGGAGGCCUGAUGCAGCAACGCCGCGUGCGGGAUGACGGCCUUCGGGUUGUAAACCGCUUUCGCCUGUGACGAAGCGUGAGUGACGGUAAUGGGUAAAGAAGCACCGGCUAACUACGUG
rnacentral:rRNA from 1 species